GAGUAUUUGUAUCAGUGUCAGAGGUCCCCCUGCACUCGGUCAAUAUAGAGGUUUUUAAAACCCAGCUGGACUUCCUCCUGUCACAUUUUGACAUCCAGUAUAAUAACAGAACCAUCAAGACAGCUGGAGAUGAAAUGGAGCUCUUUAGUAUGGUUAACUACCUGUUCAGGACUGUGUUUAAAAAUCAGGAGGAGAUGAAGACCUUCUUACAGUAUGUCAGCACUGAAGCAACAGAGAGGAAGUGGGGGAGAAAGAGUCCGAACAUGACGCUCAGAAAAGAGUCCAACUGGAUUCCUCAUAUACAGGUCAAACAAGUGUCAGUGUUUUUACAUGUGAUAAUUCAUGACGUAAUAUGAUGAAAUAUGACACUGUAUCCCCUGUGGGAAACAAACAGAUGAAACCAAAGCGAGAUCCCUGGCAACAAAAACAAAUGGCUAAACUCAAGGAGCUCAGAUCAAUGGAUGAACUUCUCCAGAUGCACAGCAAGUUCCUGGAGGAGUCCGAUCUUCAUAAAGUGACUGAUGCUUUAAAGCAGUACAUCGCAUCUGUUUGUCAACAAGAACCCACAAAACCUUCAUCCAUCAGCACAGCGACCCUCAAAGAAGCUUCUGACAUAUGGAGAAGCAUUUAUAACACAGCAAACAUGUUUCAGGUGAACAUCUGUGUAACUGGUAGACUCUGUUUUCUUUUUAAAUACAUGUUUCUGGUCUUAUUGUGAACAAUUCUUCAGUGCACUUUGUUCGAAAUAAUGCAAAUAUUUAUCUUUCAUGUUAACUUUAAAGAAAUAACAUUAUUUUUUCAUUGUAUGCACAUUAUUUUCUUUUUUUCCCCCAGGUGGCCACUGGACAGACUUCUCAUUUAUCUAAAUACACAGAUCAGAAAAACUCUGAGAAAAAGAAUGAAGGGUAAUUUUCCAAACACUGAAAUGUGUCUAUGAGUGUGUUUGUGAGGGUUUCUUUCAACAGCUCUCUGUCUUCUAGCAUUGCUGGUCAAAGCAGUGGUGCUUAUCUUCUUGAGAAGGAUGAAGAUGCUGAAGAUGGUGCCAAGGAUCCUGUAACAGUUAGAGGAGCUUAUGCAUCUUUAAUCUACCUGAGACACCUCAGGAUCAGAGAACUUAAGCGUACCUGUCUGAGCAUGCUAAACUACCUGCGGUCAGUGGAGAGGACUCUGGUGAUGGACACCGCUGGUCUGGAGUUGGUUGGAGGAGAUCUGGUGAGAAGUAUGGAGGAGACAGGCUGGAUGAAUGCUGCUAGAGGAGACGAUGGCUCAAACGGAGCUCUUGGAUCACAUCACUACAUCUACAACAGCCCAGUUGACUAUAAGGUCCACUGUGCAGAGUUUAUGGAGUUUCCUGAGGUGGAGAACCUCCAUGACUAUUACAGCACAGACGGGAGCUGCAUCCACACGCAGGACCAGCGAGGUCUCUACAUCAUCUAUGACGUGGCCCUGAUGGACCUGGAGGAGCUGGAGCAACAUCUGCUGCUCACAGCAUCUCAUUUCAUACAGAGGAGCAGAGGUCAGGACAGAAGCUCUUGUAUGCUCUUUCCUGUGGAUUUUUAUCCUUAAAUAUGCAAAUUUUCUACUAGCAUAUAUAUGUUUAAAACUCUUUUUAUGACUCACUCAUAUAUUGCAAUGACAUUUGCAACAAGC
ensembl:lncRNA